UAGCAUAUCAAUAAGCGGAGGAAAAGAAACCAACAGGGAUUGCUCUAGUAACGGCGAGUGAAGCAGCAAUAGCUCAAAUUUGAAAUCUGGCGUCUUCGACGUCCGAGUUGUAAUUUGUAGAGGAUGCUUCUGAGUAACCACCGACCUAAGUUCCUUGGAACAGGACGUCAUAGAGGGUGAGAAUCCCGUAUGCGGUCGGAAAGGUGCUCUAUACGUAGCUCCUUCGACGAGUCGAGUUGUUUGGGAAUGCAGCUCUAAAUGGGAGGUAAAUUUCUUCUAAAGCUAAAUAUUGGCCAGAGACCGAUAGCGCACAAGUAGAGUGAUCGAAAGAUGAAAAGCACUUUGGAAAGAGAGUUAAAAAGCACGUGAAAUUGUUAAAAGGGAAGGGAUUGCAACCAGACUUGCUCGCGGUGUUCCGCCGGUCUUCUGACCGGUCUACUCGCCGCGUUGCAGGCCAGCAUCGUCUGGUGCCGCUGGACAAGACUUGAGGAAUGUAGCUCCCUCGGGAGUGUUAUAGCCUCUUGUGAUGCAGCGAGCGCCGGGCGAGGUCCGCGCUUCGGCUAGGAUGCUGGCGUAAUGGUCGUAAUCCGCCCGUCUUGAAACACGGACCAAGGAGUCUAACAUCUAUGCGAGUGUUCGGGUGUCAAACCCCUACGCGUAAUGAAAGUGAACGGAGGUGAGAACCGCAAGGUGCAUCAUCGACCGAUCCUGAUGUCUUCGGAUGGAUUUGAGUAAGAGCAUAGCUGUUGGGACCCGAAAGAUGGUGAACUAUGCCUGAAUAGGGUGAAGCCAGAGGAAACUCUGGUGGAGGCUCGCAGCGGUUCUGACGUGCAAAUCGAUCGUCAAAUUUGGGUAUAGGGGCGAAAGACUAAUCGAACCAUCUAGUAGCUGGUUCCUGCG
rnacentral:rRNA from 1 species